rnacentral:rRNA from 1 species
UACGUAGGGUGCAAGCGUUGUCCGGAAUUAUUGGGCGUAAAGGGCUCGUAGGCGGUCCAUCACGUCGGGAGUGAAAAGCUGGGGCUUAACCCCAGUCCUGCUUCCGAUACGGGUGGACUAGAGGUAGGCAGGGGAGAACGGAAUUCCAGGUGUAGCGGUGAAAUGCGUAGAUAUUGGGAGGAACACCAGUGGCGAAGGCGGCUCACUGGACCGGUACUGACGCUGAGGCGCGAAAGCGUGGGGAGCAAACGGG